rnacentral:rRNA from 1 species
AGUGAACGCUGGCGGUAGGCCUAACACAUGCAAGUCGAACGGCAGCACAGUAAGAGCUUGCUCUUACGGGUGGCGAGUGGCGGACGGGUGAGGAAUACAUCGGAAUCUACUUUUUCGUGGGGGAUAACGUAGGGAAACUUACGCUAAUACCGCAUACGACCUACGGGUGAAAGCAGGGGAUCUUCGGACCUUGCGCGAUUGAAUGAGCCAAUGUCGGAUUAGCUAGUUGGCGGGGUAAAGGCCCACCAAGGCGACGAUCCGUAGCUGGUCUGAGAGGAUGAUCAGCCACACUGGAACUGAAACACGGUCCAGACUCCUACGGGAGGCAGCAGUGGGGAAUAUUGGACAAUGGGCGCAAGCCUGAUCCAGCCAUACCGCGUGGGUGAAGAAGGCCUUCGGGUUGUAAAGCCCUUUUGUUGGGAAAGAAAAGCAGCAGGUUAAUACCCCGCUGUUCUGACGGUACCCAAAGAAUAAGCACCGGCUAACUUCGUG